CUCAGUGUCCAAUUUAUAUCCGAUUUUGUUUGGUAUGGUAUGGAGGAAAAAAAAUCCUGAUUUUUAUCUGUAUAAGUGGAAAUAGUCAUAGAUUGUCUGCAAUCUCUAGUUAUGGACAAAACUAGAUACUUGAAAAGAAAAAGAGGAAUAUCCAAUACCUGCUUUCAGCCCUUAUCCUCCAUAUAUCAGGUGAGAAACACACAAAGGUUAUAAUCACUAAAAUUGUACUAUGGUGAGAGCCAUAGCACUGAGUUUGCAGCUGGGUGUGGCAAUCCCAGCACCAGGCUUGCACCUUCUGCAUCAGUGACCCCUGAGAAGCCCACACAAGCACAAUAAUGGAGGCCUUACCUAAGGUCUCAGGCAGCCUAAGCAACGCAUGUUUUACAUCUGAGUGUACGUGUUACGGACGACUUUUAAUAUUUAAGAUGACACUUGAAGCGAAUGUUUGCAGGGAACCUCUGAAGCACUGCCACAAGAGCCAGUUUCAAAACCACUCGUUUAGUGGAAAGAACCUGGGGUUUCUGAGCCCACAAACUUGGGCUGGAAUCCAGCCCCGCAGCGCCAGCUGAGUUGCCCGUGGGUGGUGAGGAACUGAGCAUUUCCUUAUCUAGAGCAGAGCACUGGCCACAAAGAGGGGGUUGACGGUGAGUGCCUAGAAAGCGCUCCCCUUUCCACCGUCCAUAAAAUGAGGUGACAUUUCUGUCUGGCUGCUGGUGGACAUUCUGAAUGGUCAGAGCCAGACAGGGCUUUUGUCCCACCAUGUAUUAAAACUAGAAGACGACUGGCCCUGCCCUGGGUCUUCCACCUCACAGAGGUAACAUUCUGAUCUGAGUUAAAAUAAAUUGCAAGUUUAUCACUACUCAAAGACUUUAAAGUUCAUAUAUGAACUUAAAAUAUAUUUUUUUAAUGGAUGCAAGUCUGCAGGUGCACUGCUGCUUUAAAAUCCUAUAAAAGCAAUGGGAAAGGAGGCCAAGAGAAAGAAACUGCUUGUUGGGGUUGGGGUGGCAUCUAAGAACUCUGAGUCCUGUGGAGACUGAUGUGGCCUCACUUUGCUGAACAGGUGAUGAGUUUUAGGUUCCUGACUGAAGACUGACCAAGCCAUAAGAUAUGCAGACCAGCCAGCUCUCCAGGCUGAGGAGCAGGGGAGGUAGAGCGAGGUGGGCCUUACCUCUGCACAGCAUGGAUGUCUAAGGCACGGGCCUGGGCCAGGUUGUGUUCACUACCUGGCAGGCGAGCCCAAGGUUGGAAAAGGAGUGAAGACCUUGCCUUCAGCUCGUCCUCCUUUCAUCUCCAAUGCCAAAGGAGCCCAUGGUGGCUGAACAUAUUUAAGGCUUCGUCAUCCAAAUUAAAACAGAUGUGAGUUAAUUAUAAAUGGUUCCCCUACUGUAUUUUGCCCAUUGGAAAAUCAGUCCCUAGAACUAGAGGUUCUUUCAGGUCACCCAGAAGAUUCUGGUACUUGCUGGCACAUACUCUACUGGGGCGGCUCCCAAGUUUGAAGUCCCUGUCAGCCCUUGGGACCUGACCUGGGUAGCAUAAUUCUUUCUAUUCUUUCAUUUGAGUUGAUAAACCAGCCAACUGCUGCCUCAGACUUCUGCCCCCCCAACACGUUCUCGGGUGUCCCCAAGGACUAUCCAUACCUGCUGCCUCUUCUGCCUCUGCAGUUGGCCUUCGAGGCUGCGCCAGACCAUCCUUUCCCUGAGCCUAUGUUGGCAUUGGUGUUCCUGAGGUUCAGUUCUCUGCCCUCCUUCCACACAUGCUUCCCUGGAAAUUUAUAAAUCAGGGUACUUAAAAUGGAGACACUUUAACAACAGUUCCAUAUGAGUCUCUGCCAGAAAUGCAGCGAAGUCAUCCUUCCCCAGGGGCUUGGAGAAACUGCUAAGGCAUCAGGUGUGCCCACCUGAGCCAGUGUGCAAGGCCACCUCACAUGAACACCCUUCCACCCGCCCUGUGCAGCUCUGAGGCAUUAACUUGGGGACUGGUUCUCAUGGGCCUGAGGACUGCUUGCCCAGUCGAAAGGAGGGCUGAACCAAAAGGCCUGCAGCACGGGCUUUGCCUUUUGUCCUCUGUGUGCAGGAUCUAAAGUGCUAGGAUGUCAGCAUUUCCUUCCCAGUCAGCCUGGAGCAGGUGUGAACACUGAUGUCACUUUCCCAUCCUCUCCCCCAAGCCCAGCUAGGAAGUUAACCUCCUCUUUGCAGACUGUAGUUGAAUUCCUCCCCCAAACCCCCACCCGCCUUCCCUGGAACUGUCUGUUUAGGAAGCUCAGUCAUAGGAAGUUCUGAGCCACACCAGGCAGGAAUGAACCAUGGCAGCUAAAGCCACUGCACAGGGAUCCUGUGUGCUGUUAGAUGGGAGUAGGAAGGGGAUAGCGGGGAGGUAGAGGGACAGCGGCAGAGGCCCUUGCCUCUCCUUACCCGGACACCCCGUAUCACCCUUGCCCCUCAUGUCCUCCACGUAGCCCUGCCCUCCAAAGCCCUCCGGACUUUUGGAGAUCACUAACAAUGCCUGAAAAGCUGAGGACAACGGCCUGGGUGUCUGAAGUCACCUGGUUACCCCUCAUUUCUGGGGACCCUAACUGAGGCCUCAGCCAUAGAGUCUUUGCUUCUGACAGCUCUAGAUAUACCAGGUGACUCAUUCAUUUAACAACUAAUGAGACCCAUGGUUCUGCACAGGCUUCUUUGGUGACUUAGACGCAUCCCUACCCCAAGUCCCAUGAGAAAACAUGGCAUUUCUGUGUCUAGCACUGUUUGCUCUCAAGAAUGUGUUGUCUGUUAGGGAAGAUUGGGCAGAUAAAUAAAGGACUCUCAUUAUCCAGAAAGAACUGAGACCUGAAAAGCCCUUUUACAGUUAACCCACUGUAAACGGAGACCAGAGUUUCACACAGUAAAUAGUGAAAAAGGCUUGAUUGGAACAAGUAUUUGUUAGCAAAACGUAGUUGCAACUAUGGGCUAAUUCUUAGAAAAAGAAUAUUUUACAUAUAUUUCCCUCCUAAAGUUACCCGAUUGUACAACAGGACAUCAUUUCAUGUUUGAUUCCCAUAGUGCAAUCAACAGGGUUGUUUUUGCAAAAGUUAGUCAAGGGCCUUCACCAGUUUUCCAGAGGGCUUCUCUUAACCCCUUAGCCUUCUGAUAGUUAAACUCCCCCCUGUGCAGCUCUUCUCCUCACUUGUUAGUGGACCUCAUUCUCAGUCCUCAUUUGCCAGGGACUAUAUUCAUUUGAUAAGUGGCAGCAGACACUCCAUCAGGUGGCAAGGCAACUCUUAGCCCAAGAAGCCAGAGCUGGGUGUCUGCCUAGGCACAUGCCUGUGUGUGCGUAGCUCUGUGCUGCCCUGACCCAGAGACUGUGGGACCUGUGUUCUAGCCCCUUCAUUGAUGAUUUAGGGUGUAGCCUUGACCACUCUGCUCUGCUUUAAUUUCUCCUCUGUGGGGAAGUUUGUCUAGUCAACCCACAAAGCUGUUGAGGAUCCAAUGAGGAAAUCAUGUUUUACAAAGUCUAGUUGCCCUGCAGCGUGAGGGGUAGCAUCCUGCAAAGCCCAUACUUGAACUUAUGCUCUGCCUGAGGCCCCCACCUUACCUGCUUUCACACAUCAUCCAGAGUUGGAAGCGGCAGGAGCCCUUCUUGUUUCCCAGGCAGCCGUACUGCUCCAAGGCAACAGAACUUCUCUUCUCACCUGUACCUGCUCAGUUGGAGGGAGGAGGGAAACAUGUCAGGUCUUUCAGGGGUGAUAGGGACUCGGGCCAUCUCCAGCCAAGAUGGUCCCCAAGGUGAAAUACUUAAGAUCCAGCCACUUAAGUGGGUGGAGUGUUACCAGGGACAGGUUCUCUGGCUGGGGUGGGAGCUCUGCCCGGGGCUGCUGGGAGUCUCCGAGAGAUGGGCUCCAUGGGGUGGCCUCGCUUCCAGGGCAGAUGAGGGCUGGGCAAGCAGUCAGCCGUGCUGGCCCCUUCCCUUCGGGGCUCUGCCGCCUUACCUCCAUUCUGGUCAGUGUCUGGAUGGGCAGUGGUGAUCCCUGAACUUCCCAAACACAAAUCUCUUGAUGUCUGCCCAUCCUGAGACAGGAGAGGCGCCAGAGGUGACUCCCUGGCCAGUCUGUGGUGUUGCCUCUGUCCCCCUAGGGCAAUAUUUUGCUAUCAGCUUCCCUGCCUGGCUUUCUCUCUAGGCAUGCAGAGCCGGCCCUGCACCCCAUGGGGAGCAGAGAAGUGGGCUCAGGCAGCAGGUCCAGAAGGUGGAGGAGUUGAACUCCUGCCUGCUAAACCACAUGACCAUGGCCUUCAGCAGGCAGAACACUUGCCCUCAGAGGGGAAUUGCACUCCUCUAGUCUCUGAGUAGGAGCAAACUUUCAAAGGAGCCCUCUGGCACCCUUUCCUCCACGGUGCCGUCAGCCCCACUCUGUACUUCCACAGCCCUAUCUGACCUGAGAGUCCCUCCUACUUGCCCUGCCCCCGUGCCCAGAGCUCCUCCUGCCUCUCCCCCUCCUUUCCCUUCUGCUCCAAACUCCCCUUGCUUCUGCAAGUCAUCCAGGACAGCCUCACACUAAGGCAAUGAAAAUACACAAGCCAGAAACAGCACAAAUGUCCAUGAACAGGGCAAGGAAUAAACAGUUUGUGAAACAUUCAUCUACAAGAUCUAACACAGCAAUGAAUGAAUAAACUAGUUACACAUACAAACACAGAUGAAUCUCACAUAAUACUGAAUAGAAAAAAGAACAAAAUUAUGUGCUGUAUGAUUCCAUUCUUUAAAAGUUCAAAACCAGGCAAAAGUAUUAUUUCAGGUGCCAAGGUAUGGUAACUACAAAAGCCAGGGCCCUGGUCAUCUCUAGGGGUUGGAGCGAGCAGGUUGGGGAGGGUAAGUGGGCUUCCAGAGUGCUGGAGAUGAUUUAGGUACUGAUCAGAGUGGUGGGUUUCAUGAAUGCUCAUCUGAUAACUCAUCAGCCUCUACAGAUUUAUUUAAAAAAUUUUUUAACAUCUUUAUUGGAGUAUAAACUACAGAUUUUUAAUGUACUUUUCUAUGUAUAUGUUAUUUCACAAAGUUCAAAAAACAAAAAACCCAGCCCCUCCACCUUGGGCUUCUCAGGGCAUCAGCCCCUUGGUGUGCAUACCUCUCAUGCAAUUGAUUGGCCUCAGUGGGGAAUAUCUAGUGGGGAGCUGUCAAGGCCUGAGGAGAAAGGGGUUGGCCCAACUACUCAGGUGGCCCUGGGUCAGUGAAUGGGGGCCACCUUCAUUCCUUCUCCAGGGGGGUGGUCCUGCCCGUAGUGCUGUCCCUUCCUUGCCCCAGCCUCACUGCAUUCCCAGGGAAGUUUGUGUUGAUCUGGAGCACUGGCUUCCUGGCUUGGUCAGGCUGGCCUUGAAUGGGCCUUAACUGACCUAGGUCUGCUUCUCAUGAACGGGAUCUGCUAUGAUGAGUUGCCCCAGCGCCCUAGGUUUAACUUAUAUUGGGUAGGAUGCUCUUGGUUUCCACUGUUUGUUUAUAUAAUGUGGUCAUCUGCCCACUUACCUAGAGUUGGUGGGGGGACAUUACAGAGACCCCAUGGCUGGGAACCUUUGAUUAUAUACAGGGAUACCAGUCAAAUAACAAAAUAUGAAUUCCUACUUCAUGUCAGGCACCUCAGUAGGCAGAGAAAGCCAGAAUCCUGUGCUCAUGGAGAAGACUGUCGACAAAAGACAGAUGAAGAAACUGAGGCUCAGAAAGGUGAAGAGCCCUAUCCAAGGUCACUCAGCUAACAUGUGGCAGAAUGAGGACUUGAACUCUAGUCUGCAUGAUUCAAAAGCCAGGCAGUGAGGAGGCUGCUGUCAGUCAUGGCAAGAAGUGGUGGUGGCAUCAUUGGAUACAGAGGUAGAUGUGCAGGCCCAAGAGGGACCCUGAAGAGAGAACUAACAGGACUCAGUGAGCACUGCUGAGGCAAAGGAGGAGGAGGAACCAGACUCCAGGUUUCUGCCUGGAUCAACUGGAUGGACAGUGAUCCAUCCAGUUGGAUCAUUUACUAAGAUGGAGAAUGGAGAGGAGUAGGUUUAGGGGGAAAAAUCAUCUAAAUUUGAUAUUCUACUUCAGUUAAAAAAAAAAAAAAGAUUGGUUGAUUAAAUGAAAAUAAAACAGGGAUAAUUCCAUUCUAGAAACUCCCUCUCUUCAUGCUUCCUCAAUCCCAGUGUUUUCUACACUCAUUUGUUGCCCCUUCCUUCUAGUUUUCUAAAGCACCCCAAUUCUUUUCUGAUCCGUGGGCCCUCUAAUAACCAAACCCCAAGCAGAUCAGAACUGGGAGGACCACCAAGAGAACGCUGUCCUUGGCCACACCAUCUGCUCCCUCAGCAGUGGCCCUCUGGCCACCCCAUGCUUUGUCCGGGUCUCCUGAUGCUCCCUUCUCUGCAGAGGCUCUCUGCCAGGGGAGGAGCUGUUCCUAUGCCUGAGCUCCUCGGGGUGGAGUUCCCCCCGACCCCCGCAUCCUCCUAGUACCUAGAACAUCUGGUGUGUGCACAGCCUCUGCAGUCACACGGGGCCCCACACUCAGAAGGACCUUGCCCUCGGUUUAAUGCACUUCUGUUGCAGUUUUGAAAUUCCUACUAUAUUUAACAAGAGGCCCCAUAUUUUCAUUUUGGACUGGGCCCUGCAAAUUCUGUAGCUGGUCCUGUCCAUGUGUCUGCAUUGUAAUGAUGCAAGACACUGAGUGGUAGCCUUUCCCAUCUGUGGGGAUGAACUUCUUUUCCAGCUAGGAAGACCCACUGUUUUAAAUCAGAGGGAAAUAAAGCAAAAAAGAGCUCACUUCCUUUGUUUCUAUGAAAUACAGUUUUAUGUGCAGUUUUAUGUUUCUUCAUGGGUAAUAACUUAGGAGGGAACCUUGGGAACAGAAUACAAAAGUAACAAAUUAUGGGCCAUUAACUGUGGUUAAUUGUUUCUUUAUAGCUUAGAGUGGAGGCACAUUUGGGUUGCUUUGGCACUCACAGUUACAGGUAGGGAAAGGCGGUCUACUUAAAUAUAACCUAGGGGGACUUCCCUGGUGGUCCAGUGGUUAAGAAUCUGCCUUCCAAUGCAGGGGACAUAGGUUCGAUCCCUGGUCGGGGAACUAAUAUCCCACAUGCUGCGGGGCAACUAAGCCCGUGUGCCGCAACUACUGAGCACGUGAGCCACAACUAGAGAGGCCCAUGAGCCACAACUAUAGAGCCUGUGUGCCACAACUAGAGAAAAGCCUGCACGCUGCAACUAAGACCCAACACAGCCAAAAAUAAAUAAAUAAAUAAAUAAAACCUAGGGCCCCUCAGGAGGUGGAGGGAGAGGCAGCUGAGUGAUGACCCCAGCCUUGCUUCCGAAGCCAAAACUGCCAUCAAGGCCUCACCUCCAGUUAAAGUAUUUCUCUCACAAGCCUCAUUACUGAGCAACUAUGGACCCCUUACCUGAGAUCCUCUCAGCUCUGCAGGUGUGGAGGUGGUCUACGUGCUGUCUGGGCAUCCUGCUGCAGCAGCCUUUGGGGUGUAACUCAUACUUGUCCCCAGUUAGUUGGUGUCAUCUGCCACUCAGGCUCCAAACAGCUGCAGAAGAUCCUUGCUCACUUUAGUAAACACCUGUUUUAAAAAAAAAAUUGAACUCAAAAAAUGUUUGGACUCCUUGCUAAAGAAAGGUGCAGAAAUGCUCCGCCAGCUAUCAUCAUAGGCUUUCCCGUCCUAACGAGCUAAUGGAUGAAGCACUCAGACCACUGAGUGAGAAGUCCUCCAGUGUCAUUCACCUACAGUAGUACCACCAAAGACUGGACAAGCACAGCACACAGAAAAUAAAAUCCACCCCCAAUUCCUUUUCUCAGAGACAUAGCCCAUAUCAAUCCAAACUGACUGUUGAAGGCUUUUUGGAAUGUACUAGGUCAUCCCAUUUACACUGUUGAGCUGAUCAUAUAAUUCAGCUGUCCUGCCCUGGAAGCUUGGCUGACCUCCUUUGAUUCACAAAAUACAACCCAGAUUCCUUGGUCUGACUGACAUCAGCUGGCCUCCCAGGUACAUUCAGCUAUUCUUGACCCCAUGGACUUUCUCCCCUUAACUCUUCUCAUCUGUUUCCUCUCCCUCAACUUUCUAUUAUUGAGUGCCUGUCCUUGCUUGGUCUGGGGGACACAAAAGGAGGAAAACAGGCACAGUCCCUAGCCUGGGCUUUCAGUCUAGUGAAUCCAUGAAUUAUGCAAACCUUCAUGGCAAACAGUGAGGAGGACUGUGAAGGAAGGUGGUGGGGCUCUGAGCGCCCCCAUCAGGGGUUUGGUCUAGUUUGGGCAUCAGGAAAGGUUUCCUUGAGCAGUGUGAUUUCUGUGGAAAGAGAGAGGUGGUAACUAGGCACCAACCAGCGUGCAGGGGAGGCUGUGAGGAGGGCACACUCAAGGCCAGGUUGGCAGGGCAGUGGUCCUGGAAGCAAGGCCCUUUAGAGGGAAGCAUUGAAAGGCCAGUGGGGCUGGCGUGCAGGGGGCACAGGGGGAUGUGAGCUCGGGUCAGAUAAGCUGAGCCUGAGGCUGAAGAGUGAGGUCUUUGUCCCCAGAGCCGUGGGAAGCCUCUGAAGGAUUUUCAGUAGGGGGAACACCAGAGCUGUAUUUUUAAGAGCCUUGUGGAGGAGGUACAGGGCCAUCGUGCUCCGGGUGAGAAGGGAGCAGCAGUGCAAUAAAUAAAAGUGUCUGGGCUGCAGAGAGGGGAGAAGCACACAGGAAGGACAACAGUGUCACCUGCUGAGGGUGUGUGUGUCCCGGGGAAGUCGGGGGGUUAGUUCUGAAGAAGGCUCUCCAAAUGUCGUGCUCAGAGGGAAGUGUGGGCUGGGGUUGGACGUGUGAGAGUCGAGGCAGAGCGAUGGAACGGAAGCAGUGGAUGGGAAGGAGCUCCGCCCGAGAGAGAACAGGCGGCCAAGGACUGAGCUAAAGGCCAGGGAGAAGAAAUGAGCUGCCAAAGGGGGCAGGAAGGAAAAGAAAAAGGAAAACGAAGGCAAUAUGGUGCCAAACAAUAGGGGAGAAAGUAUUUCAGGAAGCACCAGCCCUGAAGGAUAAAUAAAAGCCAGCCCCACAGAGAGAAGGGGAAAAGAAGGGCAGAGAGAAGAAGGUCACAAUCCAGAAGGCAGAGCGCCCUGAGUUCUGGGAGCUGGAGCUCGGAUGUAGGCAGAACUGGAAGGGGGAGAGGAGGCGUGAAGGCAGGUGGAUCAAGAGGGGCCUCAGUAAGGAGUUUGGACACAAUCCUGAGGGUCAGCGGAGAGUCUGGUUUUGCCUGUCUUUUUAAUUAGAAACAAAAUGCAUGCUCCUUGUAAAUAAAACAAGACGACCACCCGCCACCAAAACAAACUCUAGCAACAAAGAAAUGUAUAUGUUAACAAGUGAAAGUUCCUCUGCCAAAUCCCCCCUCCUCAGCUAGCACUUUGGUGUUAUCAUUCCAGACCUCUUCCUGCCACUCACAAACUUCAUUAGUUUUGUGAAAACAGGAUUAUGCUGCCUAUAAUUUCUGUAACUUCCCUUACUGAAUUAGCAGUAAUCUUGAGUUUCCUUCUGGGUGGUUACACGCAGAUGUGCCCACCGGUUUGAAUGGCUGUACAGUCCUCCACAGCCCAGAUAUACUUGUAUCCUAGGAUGCUGAUCUAUUUUCUUGAACCUAAAAUGGCUACUGAGGUGCCUAAGAAGAGGAGUAUUCCCUAGGGGCACUAAGUCCCAGUCUGGUUCUGCCAUUAAGUACCUGGCUCUGGGGAGGACACGGCCCCUACUGGGCCUCAGUUUCCUCAUCCACUGUGUGCCAGGCACUAUUAUCUCAUAAAACACGAGUGUUAAUAUUUCUCAUCGAUGAAGGGCUUUAGGUAGAGGAAUGUAAUGAUCAGAUUUGUGCUUCAGAAAGAUCACUCGGGCUGCAGUAUGAAAAAUUACUUCUCUUUCCUCUCAUCCAUAUUUUUAAAAAAAUCUUACCACUCUUUCAAGGCCUAGUUCAAAUUUUCCCUCUUUCAGAAGUUUCCUCUCCAUCAUGCCCUACCUCUUAAUUGGAAUUCUCCUCUACCUGGUUCUCCCCCUAAAACAUAAAACCCCUUGAAAUUGAGAAUCAUAUUUUUCAUCCUCACAUGCUCCACAGGAAUAGGUCUAUAAGAGGACUUAAUAAAUCUUUGCAGAAUUGUCCAUGCACUAAAAAAAUCAUUUUGGUGAGACAAAAGAAGGAAUAAAUGAGCCACACAAUACUUGUUUGGGACUCAAGCCUUCGUUUGAUAAGGAGUUUAUCCACAAGCCUCAAGAUGUGUAUGAUUAAGCACUGCAGGAGGUAUUUUCCUGGCUCUGAAAGGUUCUGACCUGCCCCACCUGGAGUGCUGACGUUGAAUAAGACUGUCUGGGAAAGAGGCACUAAGGCCAGCCUGGUUUAUUGUCACAGGGCUUUAAUAAUAUCCUGCAACUCUGAAGCCUGAGAGCUUCCUUUUCACCUUGCACAAUACAUUGAGAGCUUUGCCUUCACUGGACUAUUGCUAUAUAGGGAUGAGUGACAGUGACUUGCUUUUUCUUUUCUUUUGCAAGUUUUGCCCAUUAAAUACAGUUUUCUUAGAUCCAUGCAGUUUAGAAUUAUGGAGAUAAAAAGCUUAUAUUGAACACCUAUUCUGUGCUUGAAGAUCAGUUCUUCUGUUUCAUAAUUUAAAAUAACUCAGUAUAAAAACAGAAAUAAACAAAAAGGACCUAAUCAAACUUACAAGCUUUUGCACACCAAAGGAAACCAUAAACAAAACGAAAAGACACCCAAAGAAUGGAAGAAAAUAUUUGCAAAUGAAGCGACCAACAAGGGAUUAAUCUCCAAAAUAUACAAACAGCUCAUGCAGCUCAAUAUCAAAAAAAACAAACAACCCAAUCAAAAAAUGGGCAGAAGAUCUAAAUAGACAUUUCUCCAAAGAAGACAUACAGAUGGCCAAGAGGCACAUGAAAAGAUGCUCAACAUCGCUAAUUAUUAGAGAAAUGCACAUCAAAACUACAAUGAGGUACCACCUCACACUGGUCAGAAUGGCCAUGAUUAAAAAGUCUACAAAUAAGAAAUGCUGGAGAGGGUGUAGAGAAAAGGGAACUCUCUUACACUGUUGGUGGGAAUGUAAACUGGUACAGCCACUCUGGAGAACAGUAUGCCGGUUCCUUAAAAAAUUGAAAAUAGAGUUGCCAUAUGAUCUAGCAAUCCCACUCCUGGGCAUAUAUCUGGAGAAAAACGUAAUUCGAAAAGAUACAUGCACCCCAAUGUUCAUUGCAGCACUAUUUACAAUAACCAAUACAUGGAAGCAACCUAAAUGUCCAUCAGCAGAGGAAUGGAUAAAGAAGAUGUACAUAUAUACAAUGGAAUAUUACUCAGCCAUAAGAAAGAGUGAAAUGCCAUUUGCAGCAACAUGGAUGGACCUAGAGAUUAUCAUACUAAGUGAAGUCAGACAGAGAAAGACAAAUAUCCUAUGAUAUCACUUAUAUGUGGGAUCUAAAAAAAUGAUACAAAUGAACUUAUUUACAAAACAGAAACAGAUUCACAGACUUUGAAAACAAACUUAUGGUUACCAAAGGGGAAAGAUGGGGAGAAGAAUAAAUUAGUUUGGGAUUAACAUAUACACACUACUAUAUGUAAAAUAAUCAACAAGGACCUAUUGUAUAGCACAGGGAACUCUACUCAAUGUGUAAUAACCUAUAUGGGAAAAGAAUCUGAAAAAGAAUGGAUAUAUGCAUAUGCAUAGCUGAAUCACUUUGUACACCUGAAACUAACACAUUGUAAAUCAGCUAUACUCUAAUAUAAAAUAAAAAGUAAAUUAAAAAAAUAACAUAGAUAAAAAGUCAUUUACACAAAAUAUCUUAUCAUCUAAGGAAAGGCUGGAAAUUUUCUGUGACUUCUAUAGAGUCUAUAACCAAGAACAGUAAGCCUAAGUAAUCCAGAGAUUUCUGGAUUUAAUUUAAAAAAGAAUUUCACUGGGUAUAAGUUAAAAAUUAUUCUGAAAACAGGUACCUGUCUCCGGGAGUGUGGUGGGGUCAGGGAUUCACUGAGAAGGACCACGAGAAAAACUCUGGAGUGAUAGUCAUAUUUUACAAUUCUAUAUGGGAUACACAUGUGAACAUAUUUGUCAAAAUUCACCAAAUGGUGUACUUACAACUUGUCUACUUCACUGUACAUGAAUUUUUUAAAUGAAAGCAGCCCUUGUCUUCUAGAGAGCUCAUUCUCCUGACAGGACUUAUUUUUUUUUAAGACAAUUUUUUUAGAGAAGGUUUUUUUUGUUUUUAAUUAAUUUAUUUAUUUAUUUAUUUAUUUUUGGCUGCGUUGGGUCUUCGUUGCUGCGUGCGGGCUUUCUCUAGUUGCGGUGAGCGGGGGUGACUUCGUUGCAGUGCACGGGCUUCUCAUUGCGGUGGCUUCUCUUGUUGUGGAGCACAGGCUCUAGGUGCGUGGGCUUCAGUAGUUGUGACGCGUUGGCUCAGUAGUUGCGGUGCGCAGGCUCCAGGGCGCGCGGGCUCAGUAGUUGUGGCUCGUGGGCUCUAGAGCACAGGCUCAAUAGUUGUGGCAUACAGGUUUAGCUGCUCUGCAGCCUGUGGGAUCUUCCUGGACCAGGGAUCGAACCCACGUCCCCUGCAUUGGCAGGCGGAUUCUUAACCACUGCGCCACCAGGGAAGUCCCUAGAGCAGUUUUAGGUUCACAGCAAAAUUGAGAAGAACUGACAGAGAUUUCCCAUAUAUUCCCUACCCCCACAUAUGCUCAGCCUGCCCCAUUAUCAACAUCACUCACUAGAGUAGUUCAUUUGUUAUAACUGAUGAACCUACAUUGACAUAUCAUAAUUGCCCAAAGUCUAUGGUUUACACUAGGGUUUACUUUUGGUUUUGUAUAUUCUAUGGGUUUGGGCAAAUAUAUAAUGACAUACCAGGGUUGUAGUAUCAUACAGAACAGUUUCACCGCACUAAAAAUCCUCUGUGCUCUGCCUAUUCAUCCUUCCCUCCCCUCUAACCUCUGGCAACCACUAAUCUUUUUACUAUCUCCAUAGCUUUGCGUUUUCCAGAAUGUCAUACUGUUGGAAUCAUACAGUAUGUAGCCUUUUCAGAUUGGCUUCUUUCACUUAGUAAUAUGCAUUUAAGGUUCCUUCAUUUUUUUUUCAUGGCUUGAAAUGCAUUUCUUUUUAGUGCUGAAAAAUAAUCCAUUGUCUGUAGGUACUACAGUUCAUUUAUCCAUUCAUCUAAUGAAGGGCAUCUUGGUUGCUUCCAAGUUUUGGCAAUUAUGAAUAAAGCUGCUAUAAACAUCCAUGUGCAGGUUUUUAUGUGGACAUAGUUUUCGACUCCUUUGGGUAACCAUAUAUGAAGUUUACCUGGAAAAAAAAAAAACAACCCUCUACACAAACAUUAAAUUCUAGUUAAACGUAUGCAUGCUGAAGCAUUAAGGAGUGUAGUGUAUUUAUGUCUGCAACUUACUUUGAAAUGCAUAAAAAAAUCAUUUAUGGAUGGAUAGAGGGAUGGAUAGGUAGACAGAUAUAUGAUAAAGCAAUAUAGUAAAAUGUAAAUUGUAAAAUCUAGAUGAUGAGUAUAUUUGUUUUUACCAUAAAAUUCUUUCAACUCUCUUGUAUGUUUGAAAUUUUUCAUUAAAAAAUGUUGGAAAAAAUUA